ensembl:lncRNA
UGUUGCUCGCCCUGUAAGGCCCGUCCGAGGCUUUGGCGGCAGCCGUAAAUUUAUCCUCGGAACCUGCUGGGAUGUAGAGGAGCCGAGCGGUGGGGAAAGUCUUGCAAGGACCGAGGAUAGUCUGCCAUAAAAGUCUUUAAAUCUGAUGAGAAAUUAAUUUUGCGCUGCUGCAGCUCCUCCAACCCCCUUGACGACCGUGGAAACGAAGGUUUGCGACACUCGGAGCGCCGUGACUGUUUUCAUCAAAAGAACACUUGCCUCCUUUGGAGACUCGCCCUUGCGUGGGAAGAUUUGCGGCAGGAAACGACCGCAACACAAUCUGCUGUGCGUCCAUUACUGACAAUGUCAUUUUUGCACAAGGUUAACAGAGUUUGCACAGAGUUAUAUUUCUUGUUUGUGCAAUAAGCCUGAUAAAGUAAGUUAAUAUAAUACUCAACAUCUUCUUCAAAUAUUCUUUUCUCAGAAAAAAUGGUGUCAAAUUUGGCAUAAUCUUGCUCAAGCCAGUAAGCCACAGUACAGUAACAAAAUACUUAAUUACAUCCAGCAUAAAUCCCGCAACAAUCUGAUAAAGCGAUCAGGCCCAAAUUGCACCGCGGCACGGGAACACACUGUCGAGCACAGGCCCGGACCAGCAUACGUCGUCUCAUCAUUCAGCCCAGCCGCGAGCCACACUAAGAUCAUAAUGAGUCUCUGUCAGCGGCAUCCAGCAGUAUUGAACCAGAUCCCGUGUGUCAGGGGAGCAGCCGAGGCAGAGGCACAUCUCCUAUACCUCUAAGUCCUGUCACCAGCUUGUAUUCGGCUUUGGCUGAUUAAAACUGAUGGGGUGACAUGAUUGUGACCUGUAUGGAUUUCUGAUUCUCCCAGCCACACUGCCCGACUACAUGUGUCUUUUGCCUUUGACAAACCCACCAGGGAGCCCUCGAAACCGAGCUGCAGAAUGCAUUAUUCAAAAGGCAGCAGGCAAUCGAUACCAAGAAAUGUAACGAAAUGGGAGGGGGAGAGAUCCAGAGAGAUGGAGAGGGGGAGAGGAAGAGAGAGUAGAAGGCAUCCAAACUUCCCUGGCUAUGUCCGUCAGCAGCAGUCGUAAGUAUUAACUACUAAUCCCGGUGUGAGUUUCCCCAUCUCAACAAGGAACUUUGGCAUAGCUCACUAAUCCCCCGGAGGAGUUAAAUCCAGGACGAGCAUCAUCAAUCUUUAGGGGUUAAUAUGUUAUCAUCCUGCCACCACUACGUUCAACACCUGAUUCCUGGCCGUGUAUAACGUGGCAAUAAAAAGUUAGUUUUCCAUGCUACACCUUCCAAAAGAUAACAUUCGAGAACCCUGUGUUGUGCUCCCUGGCUGCAUCAAAUGAAAUACAAUCAGAAAAGACAUUAUGCAGCUUGAUUACCAUUUCACUGAUUGAAAUGUUGUUUUAAACAUGAUGUUUUGAUUCUAAAUGCAUGUUACAAAAUCCACUUGAAACACUUUCUUUUUUGGUAUGGCAUGAGAUUGUUGUGUGUUUAACUUUUGUGAUUGACGUCUCCAAAUUCCUUUCCAUCCUGACACUUCCUUACUGUCACUCUCACUAAAUGCUAGAGAGAGACUGUAGUUUGCCGAAGAUUAAGGGGGGAUUUCUAGCAUAUCCCCCCCAAAACAAACGUAGUAAUUGGGUACAAUGAGAAGAAAGUAGACAUGGGGCUGUGGUUACGUCUGGCAGACAGACUGCAGUCCUCACAGGACGAAACACUGCACGCACUCCUUAACAACCACAUGGAGCAGCUCAAACCCCUAAAAACAAUGGAGCUUUCAUGAGUUCGAUUUACACUCACUAUUGCUUCAACGCAAACUUUGCAAACUGUGCUGAUUGUGUGACAGCUGGAACUGCAGUGACUGCUGUGGAUGUGAGCUUUUAAGUGCUUCUGUGAAUGGCCAUUAAUCAUUUCCAAUCUUUAAUUACUUUAAAUUUCGCAGCCAGUGACUUUCCCUGAAGAUUUUGGAAUUAUGCUGUAUGAUUGAGCUUCGGACUCUAAGUCUAAGAGGAUUUCUGUGCUUUUACUGUUUGCUUUUAAAGCAGCACUGUACAGGAUAACCGUGUCCAAAAAGAUGGAGUUGCUCUCUGCUUAUGUCAUGGUCGGUCUGAGAUCCCCCAAACUGGUUUACUGAGAGCCUCAAAGGCCUGAAGUGUGUCCGUGAGAGCGGCGCCCUGACAUACAGCUGGUUGGGGACUGACUGCCUCUGGCAUCCACACCUGGUUCCAGUAACUCACUCCACAGGACUGAGCUACAUUACAGUACGGUUGUACGUUUUCAUAAUAUAUGUGAGACCGACAUUAUGGUUACUGAUAUGUCUAUAUGGAAAUGGUGGUUCAAGAUGUGUAAGCUUAAAAGUAAAGGUUUUAAGAUAAAGAAAGAAAAUGUUUGUAGUUGGAGGGUAUGUACUGUCUUUAAUAAACGGGAC